UACGGAGGGUGCAAGCGUUAUCCGGAUUCACUGGGCUUAAAGGGCUCGUAGGUGGUCAAGUAAGUCAGUGGUGAAAUCUCCGGGCUUAACCCGGAAACUGCCAUUGAUACUAUUUGUCUUGAAUACUGUGGAGGUCAGCGGAAUAUGUCAUGUAGCGGUGAAAUGCUUAGAUAUGACAUAGAACACCAAUUGCGAAGGCAGCUGGCUACACAAAUAUUGACACUGAGGCACGAAAGCGUGGGGAUCAAACAGG
rnacentral:rRNA from 1 species